rnacentral:piRNA from 1 species
UAGGUGCUCCUUCUACCAAACUGUGGUUC